AGAGGACGACCGAAUGGACGCGGGAUGGAGGCCUGGGAGGCCGGCUGGACCUAGGUAAAUGGGUUGGACAGAAUAAUUUUCCCUAUCAGAGGAGGCCGCUCUCACGUCUCCUUUAUGGAGGAAUUGAAGAUUGGUCCAGCUUGGAGAGGUGAACAUUCUUAGGUCUGCCUCGCUGGCCAGAUGUCAGAGCCACGGGAAUCAGCCAGCGAACCUGGACUGCAGCCAGUCUGUCUUCACAUUCAGGAAGACGUCUUCUCAAGAGAAUUGUUCUUCCUGGGCAUGAAGCAUGUGAGGUGGCCGCGUCCCGCCUGAUUUCCUGAGCUGCGUCCUGAUGGGGCAGCAGGUCGGCUCCAGAGGUCCUGUGGGGAGUAGUAGAUUGUGUUUUGCUUUUUGCAAUGGGAACUUCAUUUCUUAGUAAUGUGGGUGACAUUAUCCAAUGGGGAAAAUACCUCAAGAAGCAGGAGGGGGGCGGGGUGGGGAUGAGGCAUGGAUGUGACCUAAGUACAUUUUACAUGUCUGUGAAAAUAUCACAGUGAAACUCAGUGCUUUGUACAAUUAAUAUACGCUAAAAAAAAAAACUACUUGUAGCAAAAAUCAAAAGCUGUGACUAGGAGUCACCAAAUACAAUCGGUGCUGCGUGGCCCUUAGCACCACACCAUUUGCAGGUCAGAUGCAUGAAGGAUUCUUCCUGUUGCUUCAAGUUUCA